UACGUAGGGUGCGAGCGUUAAUCGGAAUUACUGGGCGUAAAGCGUGCGCAGGCGGUUUUGUAAGCCAGAUGUGAAAUCCCCGGGCUUAACCUGGGAAUGGCAUUUGGGACUGCAAGGCUAGAGUACGGUAGAGGGGGAUGGAAUUCCGCGUGUAGCAGUGAAAUGCGUAGAUAUGCGGAGGAACACCGAUGGCGAAGGCAAUCCCCUGGACCUGUACUGACGCUCAUGCACGAAAGCGUGGGGAGCAAACAGG
rnacentral:rRNA from 1 species